rnacentral:tRNA from 1 species
AAGAGAAAGAAGCAUCUAAAAGAAGCCGCUAACUAUCUUUUAAAGCGGUUAAACUCCGUUAUUCUCUUU